CAUUGCUCACAGUGUGUGGUUCGAACUCCCAAGGCCGGGAUUGCAUCCCGGCCUUUUUCUUUGCGCGGU
rnacentral:sRNA from 1 species